rnacentral:rRNA from 1 species
UACGUAGGGACCAAGCGUUGUUCGGAUUUACUGGGCGUAAAGGGCGCGUAGGCGGCGUGGUAAGUCACUUGUGAAAUCUCCGAGCUUAACUCGGAACGGUCAAGUGAUACUGCUGUGCUAGAGUGCAGAAGGGGCAAUCGGAAUUCUUGGUGUAGCGGUGAAAUGCGUAGACAUCAAGAGGAACACCUGAGGUGAAGACGGGUUGCUGGGCUGACACUGACGCUGAGGCGCGAAAGCUAGGGUAGCAAACAGG